AGACGACUCUCGGCAACGGAUAUCUCGGCUCUCGCAUCGAUGAAGAACGUAGCGAAAUGCGAUACUUGGUGUGAAUUGCAGAAUCCCGUGAACCAUCGAGUCUUUGAACGCAAGUUGCGCCCGAGGCCACUCGGCCGAGGGCACGCCUGCCUGGGCGUCACGC
rnacentral:rRNA from 5 species